rnacentral:ncRNA from 1 species
GGCCGGAUAAGGCGUUUACGCCGCAUCCGGCAAUCAAUGCCUGAUGCGACACUGUCGCGUCUUAUCAGGCC